GUGAUGACUCCCCUCAACAACAUUCCUUGGAAAACUGAACAAAAUGAGAACUCACCACUGUAAAAAACAAACAAAC
rnacentral:snoRNA from 1 species